GCCCUCAGCUAGUUCUCUGCAACUCUCAAAUGCUAAGCAGGGCUGCGCCCGGUCAGUACCUGGAUGGGAGACCACAUGGGAAAGCUAGGAUGCUGCCGGAA
rnacentral:rRNA from 1 species